rnacentral:lncRNA from 1 species
UUCCCUCCGCGGUUAGCUCUCUCUUCCAUGGAGGGCUCUGAACGCUAGAGGGGGAGCUGAGCUGUGCAGGAGCACGGAGCUCGGGAGGCACCCGGGAGUGACAGCGACCCUGCUGCUGCCGGCCUGAACGAGCCAGAGCAGAGGCCUCAGACAGCUGCAGUUCAAAGUUGGGGAACAAAUGAGCAGCAAGAGGACAGUGGUAACCUUAACUGCUAUCCAAAGACCUUCCUGCAGAGACGGAGCUCACACUUGCAGUUCCUAGAGUCAGGUGCCCACCCCUCUUCGUGCACAAACACGUUGCUUGAACCCUUUUCAUUUUCCUCAGUGCGUGGCCAGUGUAAGACAUUGCCUGGGCUUCAUUGCUCCUUACCGAAAGCGCAGUUUAGGAGCUGGCUCCGGUGUAACUGUUUCCUCACGUUUUGGUGAAAAACAGUGUUGCCAAAGGGGAAAUGCAGGGGGAUCAUUUGAGGACCUGAAUUAGUGCUGUCUAAUGUGCUGUCUAGUGCUUUCUAGUGCUUUCUAAUCAACAGAGGCUCUGUCUCCAGUUCGUCUCCUUUCCUUCAACACCACCACAUUUGUGUAGUUUUCAGCCUCCUGCUAUUCUCCGCCUUUAAGGCGCAACAGUAUUGCAACAUAGUACUGCAA